rnacentral:rRNA from 1 species
UACGAGUGGUGCAAGCGUUGUUCGGAUUCACUGGGCAUAAAGAGCACGUAGGCGGUGACUCAAGUCGGCUGUGAAAGCCCCCGGCUCAACCGGGGAACUGCAGCCGAAACUGUGUCGCUGGAGUACGGGAGGGGAGAACGGAAUUCCUGGUGGAGCGGUGAAAUGCGUAGAUAUCAGGAGUAACGCCGGAGGCGAAAGCGGUUCUCUGGCCCGCUACUGACGCUGAGGUGCGAAAGCUAGGGGAGCAAACAGU